UAUGACUCACUUACCAAGUUGGGCAUUGGUGACAUAUAUGCACCAACUUGAGGAGGAGUGUUGACGUGAGUCUCCUAAUUAAUCAAGGAGAUUUACUCCCUUGAUUAAUUAAGGGAUUUACUGUCCUAUUUUUUUAUAUAGUUGAUAAAUCAUUGUAUAAUUAUGAGAUACUUUCCUAAUUCUUUACUGUAUCUAAUUCCUUGUAUAGCACCCUGUAAACUCUUAUAUUUACCUUCUUAUGGAGAAGAAUAAAUUUAACCAAAUACAUUCAAACCAUAUUCAUAUUUGAGCAGGGAACAGUCAAUUUAAAAAAAUAAUAAUAAUUAGCAAUGAUAAAAACGAGAACUAAAACAUAGAGUUUAAAAAAAUAAUAAAUGGGGGACAUGUGUCACUCAAAUACAUAGGGUACCGGAUGGAGACAGACAAAUUGGGUACAUAACAUCUCAACUUGCUGCUAACACAGUCUAGCUUACUGGGAAAGGGCUUUCACUUAUAGGUCAGUGAUCUUAGGUUUGAACCCCCCAUAACACCUUGGCAGUGUGUGUGUGUGUGUGUGUGAGAAAAUGCUCCUUCCCCUUCUAACUUAAAAAAAAACAAAAAACAAAAAAACAAAUCAUGAGAGAAAGUGAGAGUUCCUUGAACCCUUGUGAUAUGGAUAUGCUAAUAAGGAUAAAUGGUGUACCACUAGAGUUUUAAUUAAUUCGCUACAUGUUUCACAUAAAACAAAGAGGUAACAUUUAUGUACACUGAAUCAACAAAGUAACGUUAUAACCCAAAAGAAAAAAAAGAAAACAAAUGAAAAGUACCAAAAAUCUGCGAAGGAUAAACCAACAAACCUGAGAAAACAAGAACAAGAAGGAAGAAACAGAAAAAAGAAAAG
rnacentral:lncRNA from 1 species